CUUGGGAAGCCGUGAUUCGGAGCGAAAUAAAGUAGCGAAGUCCGUGAGCCAUGCGUCAAGAAAAGCCGCUAUCGUUUAUACCGUACCCGUACCGUAAACCGACACAGGUGGAUGAGGAGAGAAUCCUAAGGCCGGCGGAAGAAGCAUUGUCAAGGAACUCGGCAAAAUGGCCCCGUAACUUAGGGAUAAGGGGUGCCUGGGAAACCAGGCCGCAGAGAAUAGGCUCAAGCAACUGUUUAGCAAAAACACAGGUCUAUGCGAAACCGAAAGGUGAGGUAUAUGGGCUGACGCCUGCCCGGUGCUGGAAGGUUAAGAGGAGAGGUUAGCGGUAACGCGAAGCUUUGAAUUUAAGCCCCAGUAAACGGCGGCCGUAACGAUAACGGUCCUAAGGUAGCGAAAUUCCUUGUCGGGUAAGUUCCGACCCGCACGAAAGGCGUAAUGAUUUGAGCGCUGUCUCGACAAUGCAUCCGGUGAAAUUGAAGUACCAGUGAAGAUGCUGGUUACCUGCGCCAGGACGGAAAGACCCCAUGGAGCUUUACUCCAGUCUGGUACUGGGACUCGGUAUUGCAUGUACAGGAUAGGUGGGAGGCUGAGAAAUGGUAACGCCAGUUGCCAUGGAGCCGCUGUUGGGAUACCACCCUUGCAGUAUUGGGUUUCUAACCAGCCGCCGUGACCCGGCGGUGGGACAAUGCCAGACGGGGAGUUUGACUGGGGCGGUCGCCUCCGAAAGGGUAUCGGAGGCGCCCAAAGGUUCCCUCAGAAUGGACGGAAACCAUUCGAAGAGUGCAAAGGCAGAAGGGAGCUUGACUGCGACACCGACGGGUGGAGCAGGUACGAAAGUAGGGCUUAGUGAUCCGGUGGUAUUAAGUGGGAAUGCCAUCGCUCAACGGAUAAAAGCUACCCUGGGAUAACAGGCUUAUCACUCCCAAGAGUUCACAUCGACGGAGUGGUUUGGCACCUCGAUGUCGGCUCAUCGCAUCCUGGGGCUGUAGUAGGUCCCGAGGGUUGGGCUGUUCGCCCAUUAAAGCGGUACGCGAGCUGGGUUCAGAACGUCGUGAGACAGUUCGGUCCCUAUCCGGCGCGGGCGUAGGAUAUCUGAGAGGAGCUGUCCUUAGUACGAGAGGACCGGGAUGGACGGGCCGCUGGUGCAUCGGUUAGACUGCCAAGUCUACGGCCGAGUAGCCAAGCCCGGAAGGGAUAAACGCUGAAGGCAUCUAAGCGUGAAGCCCCCCUUAAGAUGAGAUAUCCCAUUCGAAAGAAGUAAACCCCCUUGAAGACGACGAGGUAGAUAGGGCAGAGGUGGAAGUGCAGCAAUGCAUGGAGCUGACUGUUACUAAUCGGGUGAGGGCUUGACCG
rnacentral:rRNA from 1 species